rnacentral:rRNA from 1 species
UGGGGAAUAUUGGACAAUGGGCGCAAGCCUGAUCCAGCAAUGCCGCGUGUGUGAAGAAGGCCUUCGGGUUGUAAAGCACUUUUAUCAGGAGCGAAACGCUGUCGGCUAAUACCCGGCGGAACUGACGGUACCUGAGGAAUAAGCACCGGCUAACUUCGUGCCAGCAGCCGCGGUAAUACGAAGGGUGCAAGCGUUAAUCGGAAUUACUGGGCGUAAAGCGUGCGUAGGCGGUUUCUUAAGUCUGCUGUGAAAUCCCCGGGCAUCACUGGGAAUGGCAGUGGAUACUGGGAGGCUAGAGUGUGUCAGAGGGUGGUGGAAUUCCCGGUGUAGCGGUGAAAUGCGUAGAGAUCGGGAGGAACAUCAGUGGCGAAGGCGGCCACCUGGGACAACACUGACGCUGAGGCACGAAAGCGUGGGGAGCAAACAGGAUUAGAUACCCUGGUAGUCCACGCCCUAAAGCGAUGCGAACUGGAUGUUGGUCUCAACUCGGAGAUCAGUGUCGAAGCUAACGCGUUAAGUUCGCCGCCUGGGGAGUACGGUCGCAAGACU